AGAUUUAGCUGGCCAGGGAGAAAAUAUGAAGAUAUCAGAAAGGGUUAUUUUUUUCCAGGGUGUGGCUCAGUCAUUGCAAGAUGGCUGUGAAGACCUCUCUCAGUUCCCCAUAUGUGGGGAAAUUUGCCUACACAAUUUGUGGUCAUCUUUGUGCAUAAAGAU